UACGUAGGGUGCGAGCGUUAAUCGGAAUUACUGGGCGUAAAGCGUGCGCAGGCGGUUCGUUGUGUCGGUGGUGAAAGCCCCGGGCUUAACCUGGGAAUGGCCAUGGAAACUGGCGAACUGGUGUGUGGCAGAGGGGGGUGGAAUUCCGCGUGUAGCAGUGAAAUGCGUAGAGAUGCGGAGGAACACCGAUGGCGAAGGCAGCCCCCUGGGCUAACACUGACGCUCAGGCACGAAAGCGUGGGGAGCAAACAGG
rnacentral:rRNA from 1 species